UCGCAAUCGAAGCUACGGAAAAAUUUAGGAAGGAUAUUUAUUCAUUAUAAUCCUUCCCAUCCAUAAUACAAUUUCUCACAGGAUCUUCUAAAAAGGAUACAAUCGCUAAUUACAGAUAAGUUUAUCGUUUUCCUUACGUUAUUGUUCAUAACUUUUGUUCCAUUUAUAUAGAAACAAUUAAAGUAUGUCAUCCGAAUCAUUAACCGAUGACGAGCACGCCGUGUCUGAAUUUUAUGAAAUCAGCGCGCCGCAACGGCCUGAUAGUGCUCCCACUAGCGGUGACUCACGUUUAUACUCAUUGCUUUCGGCUAUGGAGGCUAACAUGUCAGAAACGAAUAAAUAUCUGAAAGGCUGGUCCAAUUAAACUAUGCCACAAUGAAUGGGCAAAGGAAGAAACAAUGUAAUUGCGGAUAAAGAGUCAAGAAAAUUGUACCGUGAAGGUGAAUGGAGAAGGUGAAGGUGAAGGUGAAGGUGAAGGUGAAGGUGAAGGUGAAUUUUUUUUCAAAAAAUUCUACAGGAAAAAGCCACAGGCAUUUUGGUAAUACCAAAUUGGCCAACACAACCUUGGUAUCCCCUAAUCGAACCAAUACUUUUACAACCUCCUCAUGUUUGUCCACCGUCGCAAAACCUGCUCAAACUACCAGCUGCACCAACAGAAGUGCAUCCACUAGUAAAAAAGCUAGAGUUGAAAAUAUGUCUUGUGUCAGGCAACAACUUACAUCAAUAUGUGUCUCUCCAAGUUCAGCAGAGAUAAUCAUGGCCUCUUGGAGAAAGGGAACAAAAACCCAAUACCAAACUUAUAUAACUAAAUGGAGUCAAUUUUGUGUUGCUACAAAAUGUGAAUUUUUUAAUCCCUCUA